CUCGCGGGAGAGCUCCGACACCUCGUGUGCCGGACACCGAAGGAGCAAGCCUCCCCGCCAAUCUCUCAGGUACGCGUACCGCGCAG
rnacentral:ncRNA from 1 species